rnacentral:rRNA from 1 species
AUUGAACGCUGGCGGCAUGCCUUACACAUGCAAGUCGAACGGCAGCACGGGAGCUUGCUCCUGGUGGCGAGUGGCGAACGGGUGAGUAAUACAUCGGAACGUACCCUGAAGUGGGGGAUAACGUAGCGAAAGUUACGCUAAUACCGCAUAUUCUGUGAGCAGGAAAGAGGGGGAUCGCAAAGACCUCUUGCUUUAGGAGCGGCCGAUGUCGGAUUAGCUAGUUGGUGAGGUAAAGGCUCACCAAGGCGACGAUCCGUAGCGGGUCUGAGAGGAUGAUCCGCCACACUGGGACUGAGACACGGCCCAGACUCCUACGGGAGGCAGCAGUGGGGAAUUUGGACAAUAGGCGGCAAGCCUGAUCCAGCCAUGCGCGUGAGUGAAG